AGUGAACGCUGGCGGUAGGCCUAACACAUGCAAGUCGAACGGCAGCACAGUAAGAGCUUGCUCUUACGGGUGGCGAGUGGCGGACGGGUGAGGAAUACAUCGGAAUCUACUUUUUCGUGGGGAUAACGUAGGGAAACUUACGCUAAUACCGCAUACGACCUACGGGUGAAAGCAGGGGAUCUUCGGACCUUGCGCGAUUGAAUGAGCCGAUGUCGGAUUAGCUAGUUGGCGGGGUAAAGGCCCACCAAGGCGACGAUCCGUAGCUGGUCUGAGAGGAUGAUCAGCCACACUGGAACUGAGACACGGUCCAGACUCCUACGGGAGGCAGCAGUGGGGAAUAUUGGGCAAUGGGCGCAAGCCUGAUCCAGCCAUACCGCGUGGGUGAAGAAGGCCUUCGGGUUGUAAAGCCCUUUUGUUGGGAAAGAAAAGCAGCAGGUUAAUACCCCGCUGUUCUGACGGUACCCAAAGAAUAAGCACCGGCUAACUUCGUG
rnacentral:rRNA from 1 species